rnacentral:rRNA from 1 species
UACACUCCUGCGGGAGGCAGCAGUGGGGAAUAUUGGACAAUGGGCGCAAGCCUGAUCCAGCCAUGCCGCGUGAGUGAUGAAGGCCCUAGGGUUGUAAAGCUCUUUCACCGGAGAAGAUAAUGACGGUAUCCGGAGAAGAAGCCCCGGCUAACUUCGUGCCAGCAGCCGCGGUAAUACGAAGGGGGCUAGCGUUGUUCGGAAUUACUGGGCGUAAAGCGCACGUAGGCGGAUCGAUCAGUCAGGGGUGAAAUCCCAGGGCUCAACCCUGGAACUGCCUUUGAUACUGUCGAUCUGGAGUAUGGAAGAGGUGAGUGGAAUUCCGAGUGUAGAGGUGAAAUUCGUAGAUAUUCGGAGGAACACCAGUGGCGAAGGCGGCUCACUGGUCCAUUACUGACGCUGAGGUGCGAAAGCGUGGGGAGCAAACAGGAUUAGAAACCCGUGUAGUCC